rnacentral:lncRNA from 1 species
AUGAAGACUUUGAAUGCAGUUUUGGACACUUUUGUGCAGUGGACCAGAGAAGUCCAUCCAUUCUGGACCCUGUCGGCGGACCUCCAAGCUCCCCGGAUGACAGGAGGGCGCGUGCUCAUCCGGCGCCGCCUCGCCUCGUGUGAAGCCCGCCUUGGCAUGUGCCGUCCACUGAAGGUGAUGGCGGGAUUGGAUAAAACGCACAUCUCACAGCGGCCGCCGACUUUCUCAUCUGCCACACAACAUCAGACUCGCCUCUCGUCAGCACGCCGCCGCCUUUGCUGCAUAUUGAGCUGCACAUUUCCAUGGAAGGUGUGAAGGCAGACGGAUAUGAACGCCGGUGAAGCCCAACCCACCCUGGAUCACUGCGAUCCCCUCAAAACUCUUCCAGCAGGAUUCCCAGGAAAAACUUUCUCAAAAUGUUGUCUCCAACCUUUGUGGGCCGUUUAAUGUCAGACAAUAUUUCAUUUAAACUUUUAUUUUCUACAUCUAAACAUGAGUCCACCGUCAGAACAGCUGUUUUAGCAGCAGCAUGGUAACAUUAAGACAGCUGGUUGCUGAAUAUCCUGCUUUGGAAGGAAGGCAGAGAUGCCCAGUUUAGUCUGUUUGUUAAAGUUUAGCGUUCUCUAUGCAUUUAUGAUCCUCUUGAUUGUAUGUUUACUGUAUUAUUAUUGGUAAAAGCCCAUUGAGACGACUGUUGAGAUAUACGAAUUGAAUUGAAUUGAUUUUUAAUAUUAUGGUCUGUGGGAACAACUGUCACAAUAAAUCCAAAUUUGUAGUAAAAGGUAUGGAGUCCUAUACUGUUCAUAAUUAAAUAAAUAAAUAUUUCAUUAAAUAAAUAAAUGUGACCUCAUGCAAAUACACAAUCAAC